rnacentral:tRNA from 1 species
GGAGGGAUGGCUGAGUGGUUUAAAGCGACGGUCUUGAAAACCGUUGUGGGGCCUGUCCUCACCGGGGGUUCGAAUCCCUCUCCCUCCG